UACGGGGGGGGCAAGCGUUGUUCGGAAUUACUGGGCGUAAAGGGCUCGUAGGUGGCCAACUAAGUCGGACGUGAAAUCCCUCGGCUUAACCGGGGAACUGCGUCCGAUACUGGUUGGCUUGAGUUUGGGAGAGGGAUGCGGAAUUCCAGGUGUAGCGGUGAAAAUGCGUAGAUAUCUGGAAGAACACCAAAGGCGAAGGCAGCGUUCUGGGAAGCACCUGACGCUCAUGUGCGAAAGCUAGGGGAGCGAACGGG
rnacentral:rRNA from 1 species